UGUUCCUUUAAAUAUAUGGAUAAGUAAACAUGAUAUUAAAAAUCCUAGGAAAUCAUAGUUUGCCUUCAUUGGAUUAGAAUUAGAUUGGGAACCUUAGAAGAUCCCACACCUAUUCUUUAGGACUUGAUCCCUGCCUAUAUUACUGCUCUUUUUUGAAUUUUCACAGACUUCUCUUCUAGAACUUUAAAUAUGUCUUCUAGUGACUGGUGCACGCACUGCACAAACUGUCCAACAUCAAAAUCCAUCUGCUACCGGUGGUGCAAAACCUGGACUGGUGAGAGUAGUGGUAGUGAUGACAUUGUAGUUAAUCUGAGCAUAGGCAGGAUCUUGAUAGAACUCUGGGAGGGUCAGUCCAUUGCUUUCUCUUAGGC